AGAACAACUUGGAGACCAUUCUGUCCUUCUAUCAUGGGGGUUCUGGGGGUCAAACUGAGGUCAUCAUGUUUGGUGGCCAGAAGAGGACAUUGGAUCCCUGGUUCUGAACUCAUGGAUAUUUGUGAGCUGACUUGUUGCAGUAAUUUCUUACCCCAAUAAACCUGUGUAAAAAACAGACAA